GAUGAACGCUGGCGGCGUGCUUAACACAUGCAAGUCGAACGAAGCACUUUAUUUGAUUUCCUUCGGGACUGAUUAUUUUGUGACUGAGUGGCGGACGGGUGAGUAACGCGUGGGCAACCUGCCUUGUACAGGGGGAUAACAGUUGGAAACGGCUGCUAAUACCGCAUAAGCGCACAGCAUCACAUGAUGCAGUGUGAAAAACUCCGGUGGUAUAAGAUGGACCCGCGUUGGAUUAUCUAGUUGGUGAGGUAACGGCCCACCAAGGCGACGAUCCAUAGCCGACCUGAGAGGGUGACCGGCCACAUUGGGACUGAGACACGGCCCAAACUCCUACGGGAGGCAGCAGUGGGGAAUAUUGCACAAUGGGCGAAAGCCUGAUGCAGCGACGCCGCGUGAGCGAAGAAGUAUUUCGGUAUGUAAAGCUCUAUCAGCAGGGAAGAUAAUGACGGUACCUGACUAAGAAGCACCGGCUAAAUACGUGCCAGCAGCCGCGGUAAUACGUAUGGUGCAAGCGUUAUCCGGAUUUACUGGGUGUAAAGGGAGCGCAGGCGGUGCGGCAAGUCUGAUGUGAAAGCCCGGGGCUCAACCCCGGUACUGCAUUGGAAACUGUCGUACUAGAGUGUCGGAGGGGUAAGCGGAAUUCCUAGUGUAGCGGUGAAAUGCGUAGAUAUUAGGAGGAACACCAGUGGCGAAGGCGGCUUACUGGACGAUAACUGACGCUGAGGCUCGAAAGCGUGGGGAGCAAAC
rnacentral:rRNA from 1 species